rnacentral:rRNA from 1 species
UGCUGGCUUUUGCAAGUGCACGUUGGUGGCUUUCAUCCAAUACCCCUGUGAACUUUGGCCUCUUGCUAGCUUCGGCUGGCAGAGGAUUUACACACACUCAAAUGUAAUGAAAACUAUUGUCGUGCGCAAGCACUAAUGUACAACUUUCAACAACGGAUCUCUUGGCUCUCGCAUCGAUGAAGAACGCAGCGAAAUGCGAUAAGUAAUGUGAAUUGCAGAAUUCAGUGAAUCAUCGAAUCUUUGAACGCACCUUGCACCCUUUGGUAUUCCGAAGGGUAUGCUCGUUUGAGUGUCAUUGUACUCUCACUCUCUCUGAUCCUUUGGAUUCAGGGAGUGGUGGACUUGGGUGUUUGCUGCUUCCUUGUGGCUCACCUCAAAUGCGUCAGUGCACCUCUUGAUUGGACAUAGUACGGCGUGAUAAGUAUCUUCGCCGGCACCUCGCAAGAGGUGGCCGAUUGGGAGCUCUGUGCUUUCAACCGUCUUCGGACA